GAUGAACGCUAGCGAUAGGCUUAACACAUGCAAGUCGAGGGGCAGCAUGGUCUUAGCUUGCUAAGACUGAUGGCGACCGGCGCACGGGUGCGUAACGCGUAUGCAACUUGCCUCACAGAGGGGGAUAACCCGUCGAAAGACGGACUAAUACCGCGUACACUCCAUCUUGGGCAUCCAAGGUAGAGGAAAUGAAAUUCGCUGUGAGAUAGGCAUGCGUCCCAUUAGCUAGUUGGUGAGGUAACGGCUCACCAAGGCGACGAUGGGUAGGGGAACUGAGAGGGUGGACCCCAACAAUGGGAAUGGGACACGGGACAGAACUCCACGGGAGGGCAGAGGGAGGGAAAAUGGUCAAAGGGGGGAGGCCGUAAACAGGCAAGUGCGGGGAAAGAAUACCGUCCUAUUGGUUGGAAAAUUUUUUUAAACGGGAAAAAAAAGGGGCAAGUGGGACCCCCGGGAUGGACCGUAAGAAAAAAGAACGGCCAAACCCG
rnacentral:rRNA from 1 species